GGCGAAGGCGCCGGCGGCGGCGGGCAGCUCUGUAGGCACCUCUCCAUCCAGAUACUGGACCUGUCAAACAACGGGCUCACCGGAGAUCUCCCGGACUGCUGGUGCAACUUCCACGCGCUGAUGUUCAUGGUCCUAUCGAACAACCGUCUCACCGGCAAGCUCCCGGACUGCUGGUGGAACCUGGAGGCUCUGAUUUUCAUGGAUCUAUCCAACAACUCCUUCUCAAGUAAAAUCCCCGCAGCCGUGGCAAGCCACAACUACUCUCUUAUGUCUCUUUACCUUGCUGGAAAUGGCUUCGUUGGUCCCUUCCCGAUGGUUCUAGAGGGUUGCAACUCGCUGGCCACCCUGGACAUGGGGAAUAACAAGUUCUUUGGUGUUAUCCCUCCAUGGAUCGGGAGUCAGAUCCCAUUGUUGAGAAUACUUAGCCUGAAAUCAAACAAUUUCACUGGAAAAAUUCCUCUAGAGUUAUCACACCUUUCACAACUUCAGCUGCUCAACAUGGCAAACAAUAGCUUGACCGGCUCGAUUCCGGUAGCCUUCGGCAGCUUGACCUCCAUGAUGCAUCCACAAAAUCUAUCGGCUACAGACCCGUCUAACAAGUUUAGUUACUAUGGUAGAAUCGACAUAACCUGGAAGGGCCAAGAGCUAAUUUUCCAAAGAACACUCAGUUUACUAACGGGUAUUGAUUUGUCGGACAAUUUGCUGUCCCGGUGCAUCCCUGAAAAGCUAAACAACCUUCAGGGCCUUCGCUUUCUAAACCUAACAAGAAACCAUCUGUCAUGCGGCAUUCCUGAAGAUAUUGGUAGUUUGAAAUUUCUUGAGAUCUUAGAUCUAUCAUCUAAUGAACUUUCUGGAGCCAUUCCUUCGAGCAUCACGAGCAUAUCUGGGCUCAGCGCGUUAAAUGUCUCAAACAAUUUUCUGUCAGGCAAGAUACCGGUUGGGAGACAAAUUCAGACCCUAACAGACCCAUUGAUUUACUCCAACAACUCUGGGCUUUGUGGGCUUCCUCUGGACACUCCAUGUGCAGAUACUUCAAUUGUACCGGAUGAGACAGAUGGUGAAGGGGAGGACCAGUGGAUGUACUAUUUUGUGAUUGAUGGGAUUGUGUUUGGUUCCUGGAUAUGGUUUGGGAUGCUCUUUACAAUUGAUACCUGGAGAUGUGCUUUUCUCUUCUUUGUCGAUGGCAUGCAAUGUAAGAUGAUGAAGAAGGUGUGACAUUAG
rnacentral:rRNA from 1 species